rnacentral:misc_RNA from 1 species
CAUUUAUAAAGCGAUGUUCUUAGCACUGAUUUUAUGUUGCUACGCACGACCAAAACACCCGAUGUAUUCGACAGACUUAAGACGUAUUGCCACCUGUAGCUGGGAUUUAAAUUUCGCUGCUACAUAAUUCAUAAUGAUUCAUGCAGCGGAGUGAUAGGCACAAAUGAAAAUACAAGGAGCUAGGAGGAUGAUCGGAAGAGCGAUCGCGUUGACGCGUCUAAUUUCAGCUAAACGUGCAAAACAAUCUGCCACCGGUUCACAGAAUAUUUACAGAUCGAUUUCAAGCCACGUUGUAACCAGCAAUAAAGUUUCUUCAGGCCAAGAAAUGACGGAUCAAAACAAUAAUAUUGGCUGCUCACAGUCAGGGCUCACUGUCAUCGAGCAGCUAGGACAUCUUUUCAAACUCAAGGAAAUUCCAAACACCAGUAACUGGAUUGUCGAGACAAAAAUUCAGUCCCUCUGCAACGCGUACGUCGCUCUCUCAAAAAAUGACAAAGAGACGUUCCUUCGCACUCUGGCAUCCAAGUACGCUGUCGACCACGAUGUUGUUCGGAAAAUGGCUUUUAAUUUGGCUUGCGACGAGAAGAAGCAACUUGACGAAAGGCAGAUGAUCAAUGGCGAGCGUACUCUAAAGAAUGUUCUCACACCUAAGUAUCACUGGCUCUUUUUACUCACUGGACGGCUCAAGCACGGAGUCAAAUUCCUUGUCGAUCUUCGCACAGAUGUCUUGAAUCUUCUGUCUGAGCUGAAAGAUCCGGAUGAAACAAUCGUGGCGCAACAGCUGAACAUAACGCUGCAUGAUCUUCUUCUACAGUGGUUCUCUGUUGGAUUUUUUGACCUAGAACGUGUGACCUGGCAAAGCUCGUGCGAGAUGUUAGAGAAGGUUUCCAACUACGAAAUGAUUCAUCCUAUAAAAAAUUGGACAGACCUGAAGCGGAGAGUCGGGCCUUACAGAAGAUGUUACGUAUUCACACACAGAGCAAUGCCAAGAGAGCCUUUGGUUGUCCUGCAUACUGCCCUUUGCGGCUCGAUACCUAGUAGUGUAAAGGAAGUCUUUCAAACCGAGGCUCAAACUGAUGGAAUGUACGGAAAGGCUGAAUCCUCAGCUCCCGAAGACACAUCCAAAAUAAAAGCAGCUGUUUUUUAUUCCAUAGCUUCGACGCAGAGGGGCUUACAGGGCAUUGAAUUGGGUAAUUAUCUGAUAAAAAAUGUCGCUGCUAAGGUUUUGGAGGAAUUUCCACUAAUUGAUCAGCUAUCCAGCCUGUCCCCGAUCCCAAAUUACAGGAUUUGGCUUUUAGAGAGGAUUAAAAAUGAUGUUGGCCAAACAUUCACUAAAGAGGAGCGACAACUUAUUGGAAGUCUUUUGUGCAGCACUGACAUUCAUACCGCGUUAAAGAAGUGUUUUGCAACAAAAAUAGACAGACUUCUUUUCGUUGUCCAACAGCAAACUUUCACCUACGAAAUGGGGCUGUUAUGUGGCGGAUAAAUUGGCUCGCUGAUCCCUCACCACGGGGGGCAGCAAAUAGCUGUGGUAUUAUGGUGAACUACAGGUACUAUUUGCACGAAACUGAAACUAAUAGUAGAAACUAUAUCGAGAGGAAUAUAAUUAAAGCCUCAGAGGAUGUGAUUAGACUAGCUGCGGAGUCCGAAACGUUGUUGCAAAAAUCACGUUUGUGAAAAUCUAUGGACGC